rnacentral:rRNA from 1 species
UUUUUCCUACGGGGGGCAGCAGUGGGGAAUAUUGCACAAUGGGGGAAACCCUGAUGCAGCGACGCCGCGUGAGUGAAGAAGUAUUUCGGUAUGUAAAGCUCUAUCAGCAGGGAAGAAAAUGACGGUACCUGAUUAAGAAGCCCCGGCUAACUACGUGCCAGCAGCCGCGGUAAUACGUAGGGGGCAAGCGUUAUCCGGAUUUACUGGGUGUAAAGGGAGCGUAGACGGCAGCACAAGUCUGGAGUGAAAUGCCGGGGCUUAACCCCGGAACUGCUUUGGAAACUGCGCAGCUAGAGUGCAGGAGG